rnacentral:pre_miRNA from 1 species
GGCUGCAUCAAGUUGUGAUGGGAAUCAAUGGCAGCAAUCACGCCAAGAAAAUGAAAUCCCAUUAUCUUCUCACAGUAUAUCAUUAAUUAGGCUAACUGGUGUUGACGGAUAUAAAUCCAUUACUGCCAUUGAUUCUCAUCACAACAUGGUCCAGUC